rnacentral:misc_RNA from 1 species
AAAAAGACUUAUAACCAAAAUUAAUAGACCUAUAUUUAUUUAUAAACGUCAUGGCUUUUAUUAAUAGGUCAAAAGCUAUAUAUCUAGUUUUGAGAGAACAUUCUCUCAUAUGUUCUUUGAAAACUGAAUAGUAAAAUAUUUUUCGAUAUUUACAACGACAUCAAAAAUCAAAUUAAUGGUUAAUUUGUUUUGAUUCAUCGAGUAAGUCAUAUUUAAUAUGAUUCAUUGAAAUGUCUUAAAAUACACAUCUAAAACUAACAACAAUAGGAAAAUACUACUUUUAAAUAAGGAAGAGUUUGUGGUGGAUGCCUUGGGUCUGGAAGUCGAUGAAGGACGUGAUUACCUGCGAUAAGCCUCGUAGAGCUGGAAAUAUGCUAUGAAACGGGGAUUUCCGAAUGGGGAAACCUAA